rnacentral:rRNA from 1 species
UGGGUAGUCCGCACGAGCGCACCUUGUCCUUAGUUGCCAGCAUUAAGUUGGGCACUCUAAGGAGACUGCCGGUGACAAACUGGAGGAAGGUGGGGACGACGUCAAGUCAUCAUGGCCCUUACGUGUAGGGCUACACACGUGCUACAAUGGCAUUUACAGAGGGAAGCGAGACAGUGAUGUGGAGCGGACCCCUUAAAGAAUGUCGUAGUCCGGAUUGGAGUCUGCAACUCGACUCCAUGAAGUCGGAAUCGCUAGUAAUCGCAGGUCAGAAUACUGCGGUGAAUACGUUCCCGGGCCUUGUACACACCGCCCGUCACACCAUGGGAGUGGGAUGCAAAAGAAGUAGUUAGUCUAACCUUCGGGAGGACGAUUACCACUUUGUGUUUCAUGACUGGGGUGAAGUCGUAACAAGGUAACCCUAGGGGAACCUGGGGUUGGAUCACCUCCUUACC